rnacentral:rRNA from 1 species
UGGGGAAUUUUGCGCAAUGGGCGAAAGCCUGACGCAGCAACGCCGCGUGCGGGACGAAGGCCUUAGGGUCGUAAACCGCUUUCAGCAGGGACGAAACUGACUGUACCUGCAGAAGAAGCUCCGGCUAACUACGUGCCAGCAGCCGCGGUAAUACGUAGGGAGCAAGCGUUAUCCGGAUUUAUUGGGCGUAAAGCGCGCGUAGGCGGCUUGUUAAGUCAGGUGUGAAAGCCGGGGGCUCAACCCGCGGAUUGCAUCUGAAACUGGCAGGCUUGAGUGUGGUAGAGGAAAGUGGAAUUCCCGGUGUAGCGGUGAAAUGCGCAGAUAUCGGGAGGAACACCAGUGGCGAAGGCGGCUUUCUGGGCCACCACUGACGCUGAGGCGCGAAAGCUAGGGGAGCGAACA